UGGGAGUCUUGUCCAAUGGGCGGAGACCUGACGCAGCAACGCCGCGUGCGGGAUGACGGCCUUCGGGUUGUAAACCGCUUCAGCAGGGACGCGGUACCUGCAGAAGAAGCCCCGGCUAACUACGUGCCAGCAGCCGCGGUAAUACGUAGGGGCGAAGCGUUGUCCGGAAUCAUUGGGCGUAAAGAGCUCGUAGGCGGUUCAGUAAGUCGGGUGUGAAAGCUCCGAGCUCAACUCGGAGAGGCCACUCGAUACUGCUGGACUAGAAUCCAGUAGGGGAGCGUGGAACUCCUGGUGUAGCGGUGAAAUGCGCAGAUAUCAGGAAGAACACCAGCGGCGAAGGC
rnacentral:rRNA from 1 species